CAGGAAGCCGCCAUCUUGCCUCCGUGUGAACUUUGCCCUCCGCGCGCGUCCAGUCAGUUCGAAAGUGUCGUGCACGUGGACUUUUUCAGCAAGUAGAUGAGCUUGGGUACAUUCGGAUUUUCAUACGAAAAAAAUGCUUUUACCCUCAUUUACACACAGUGUGCUACAGAAAUACAUGUAUUUCAAGAAUAUUUUCGCGCUAGGCGGGGCUUCACGAUUUCAUCAGUGGUCUGAAUAAUAUUAAAACUUGAAUAUUGAAACUUUAUUUGAUCAUGAAAUAGACAGAAUUGAUAACACAGAUAUAGAUAACACAGAGCCCAGAAUUAAAAGAAAAAAGGUAUUGUUAUUUAGACAAGCUUUGCCUGCGUUGUCACGUGAUACCCGUUACUUUUUUCUACUCUGUUCAGGGUGGCCCAAUUACAGUCGUUUGUGGUUACUGAAUAAUUCAAUUGUAUUUAAUCUUUGUUUUAUUCUAAUUUAAAUUUAAAAUUUUUAAAAACAAUUAUACAUUUGUGUAUGUGUAUAUACAUACGUGUUUGCAGUACAACAAAUAUAUGGUGUCGUGAAAUCAGGUCUCUGUCAACUAUCAGUUAAUAGUACACAAACGAAAUCCGUACUAGUGCAAAAAACAAACAUGGCAUAAUGAAACAACAGUAGUAGCAGCAGCAGUAAUACAAAUAAUAAUAAUAACAUAAACGAUCAAUUGAACAUCAUUUAAUCAAUCUUUUUAUAAUUAAAAAAUGUGGACAAUUAACACUUCAUUUGACUUCUUUAAAAUGUGUAAUUACAAAAAUAUUUAAUUAUGAAAUAUUCUAAAAUUUAACACUUAAUUUGACCUCACAUUUGAGAGCCGUCAGAUGAUUGGAUGUUUCCUUUCAACGCUGAAAUGACGACACAGCUAGUAUAAAAGACCGCGAGAGGCCAUGUUUCUUUCUCUCGACAGUACAGCAGCUCUCAGGAACAGCGUUCACUGGUUACAUGCUUUUCGUCGUGGUACCAAGUAGGCCUGAAGUGAUCGUGAUCUACUGAAGUUAUUUUUAAUGUUCCAGGAAAUUCUUGCUUGUCUUCUGUUUCUACAGGCAUUAGAGUAGUUACUCUUUAGUAUAUUUACGAUUUUAAUGAAUAGCAUUUGCUGUAUGUGUGUGUGUGUAUAUAGAAGUUGAAAAUUGUCUUUUUGAUUGGUAUAAGAAAGUUUAGCAUAAGUAGUUUAGAAGUCUGUAUAUUAACACACUAAGUACCCCAUUUUAGCUGUUUAUAUUUGCUGUAAAUGGGAUCAAGCAGCCUUGUGUUUUUGUAUUUUGUUACUACAUAUAAUUUCCAAUAAACGAUUGUUCUUUAAA